UCCAGGGUGUAAACGCUGCUUGCUUGAUGUUAGUUGGGCUCUGAGCCCGAUUAGUGUCGGAGAGAAGUUGUUAAGCAAGCUGCCUGGGAAGUACGAUCGCAAGAUUGAAACUUAAAGGAAUUGGCGGGGGAGCACUGCAACGGGUGGAGCGUGCGGUUUAAUUGGAUUCAACGCCGGAAACCUUACCAGGGGAGACGGUUACAUGAAGGCCAGGCUGAUGACCUUGCCUGAUUUUCCGAGAGGUGGUGCAUGG
rnacentral:rRNA from 1 species